rnacentral:pre_miRNA from 1 species
UGCUGAGGAAGGUGCUGGUUGCAUUCAUUCAUAAGAGUAAUUAGGACCUCCCUGAGCGGA